rnacentral:snoRNA from 1 species
GAGGUGUGCUCAGAGCAGGUGGUCUGAAGAAUGGCUCCUCUGUUUACAACACCCAACAGGAAUUUAGGAUCAUUGUUUGAAGGGGCCCAACACUUGUGACUUCCUUUUGAGCAAAUGUCCUACACAU